UAUUUUUGAGAAAGAAAGCAAGAGCAUAAAGGAGGGCAGGGGCAGAGAGAGAGAGAGAGAGAGAGAAUCCCAAGCAGGCUCCAUGCUGUCAGUACAAAGCCUGAUGCAGGGCUCAAACCCACAAACCGUGAGGUCAUGACCUGAGCCAAAAUCAAGAGUCAGACACUUAACUAGCUAAGCUACCGAGGUGCCCCGAGAUUACUUUUCAGAAAAGCAUUAAUUAGAACGCCCCUAGUAAGUUUUUUAUUAAGCAAACUUAAUGGUCAUUACAAUGAGAGCAUAUUGCACCAGUAAGUGUAAAUACCAUAUAUUUUCGUUAAAACCAACUCUAGGAAAGCAAUAAAACUGCGCAUUAGUUAAGCAAUCAGAGUUUAUUAAAUUUCAUUUAUGAUUGGCUUUGUUAGACAUAAUUUAGUACAGUAUUACAUCAUAUCACUUCAGUCUCAACCCCUCUUGAAUGAAUAAGAGAAAUGACCAAUAUACAUAUAAAUUCUAAUGCUCAAGUUCUGAUUGCAAUGCAGAAGUUAUUAUUGCCAAAAAAGUUUUAUUUGUAUUAGGAAAUGCACUAAAGCAGGACAAUAAAAAGAUUCAGCUUUGUAGGGUAAUGUUACACGGUAAUACAACGCGUUAGAAACAACAUGCAAUUACUCUAGUAUCACAGAGGUUAAAUUACAUUGCAUUAAAUUAAAAAGUCUCAUCACCAACUCAAAAACUUCAUCACAUUAUUUAACUAUUUUUCUUCUCCUAUGAAGAAAAUAACUUGGCCACUGCAAGUAAGUUGAGGGGAAAUGAAGGGUCAAUUAUUUACCCAGCUUUUAAGUUUCAAGAGGUGCAGGGGCAACAUGACCGAAAGCCAUGUUCAAUUCAACUGAGCACAUAUUCGAGCAUCUACUAUGCACCUGUUCAGCGCUGGGCACUAAGAAUGCCAUGGUAAACAAGCAUGUGGUCUUCCUUUCUCAAGUGUACAGUCCAGGUGAAGGUCAAAUGAACGAAAGAACAAUCACAAUAGAGAAAUUCCGAGGACCCUGGUGGGGUAGUGCUCUAUAACCUCUCCAGUUUAGAAAAGACCUGAAGUGGGGCGCCUGGGUGGCUCAGUCGGCUGGGCGGCUGACUUCGGCUCAGGUCAUAAUCUCACAGCUCGUGAGUUCCAGCCCUGCGUCGGGCUCUGUGCUGACAGCUCAGAGCCUGGAGCCUGCUUCAGAUUCUGUGUCUCCCUCUCUCUCUGCCACUCCCCCACUCACACUCUGUCUCUC